AUGCUUAUGGCGCCCUCUACUGGGGAGUUACCAGAACGACGGGCCCAAGCCCACCACCCGAAUUUCCCUGCUGCGAAAUGGGCUCCUGGUAUGGACCGUCGGCUUUACCACAGUAGUGUGGACACACAGCAUUUACCUUUACUCUCGAGCAAGUUUUUAGGGGCCCCAGGCCUUACUUUUUCCCAUUCAUGUCUAAAUCAGUCUCCUAAAGAGCCCGAACAGCUGAGGAAGCUCUUCCUUGGAGGUCUGAGCUUUGAAACAACCGAUGAGAGCCUGAGGAGCCAUUUUGAGCAAUGGGGAACGCUCACAGACUGUGUGUUAAUGAGAGAUCCAAGCACCAAGCAUUCCAGGGGCUUUGGGUUUGUCACAUAUGCCACUAUGGAGGAGGUGGAUGCAGCUAUGAAUGCAAGGCCACAUAACAUGGAUGGAAGAGUUGUGGAACCGAAGAGAGCUGUCUCAAGAGAAGAUUCUCAAAGACCAGGUGCCCACUUAACUGUGAAAAAGAUAUUUGUUGGUGACAUUAAAGAAGACACUGAAGAACAUCACCUAAGAAAUUAUUUUGAACAGUAUGGGAAAAUUGAAGUGAUUGAAAUCAUGACUGACCGAGGCAGUGGCAAGAAAAGAGGCUUUGCCUUUGUCACCUUUGAUGAUCAUGACUCCGUGGGUAAGAUUGUCAUUCAGAAAUACCAUCCUGUGAAUGGCCACAGGUGUGAAGUCAGGAAAGCCCCGUCAAAGCAAGAGACGGCGAGUGCUUCAUCCAGCCAAGAGGUCGAAGUGCUUCUGGAAACUUUGGUGGUGGUCGUGGAGGUGGUUUCGGUGGGAAGGACAACUUCGGUUGUGGAGGAAACUUCGGCGGUCGUGGUGGCUUUGGUGGCAGCCGUGGUGGUGGUGGAUAUGGUGGCAGUGGGGAUGGCUAUAAUGGAUUUGGUAAUGAUGGAAGCAAUUUUGGAGGUGGUGGAAGCUACAAUGAUUUUGGCAAUGACAACAAUCAGUCUUCAAAUUUGGACCCAUGAAGGGAGGAAAUUUUGGAGGCAGAAGCUCUGGCCCCUAUAGCGGUGGAGGCCAAUACUUUGCAAAACCAUGAAACCAAGGUGGCUAUGGUGGUUCCAGGAGCAGCAGUAGCUAUGGCAGUGGCAGAAGAUUUCAAUUAGGAAACAAAUCUUAGCAGGAGAGGAGAGCCAGAGAAGUGACAGGGAAGCUACAGAUUACAACAGAUUUGUGAACUCAGCCAAGCACAGCGGUGGCAGGGCCUAACUGCUACAAAGAACACAUGUUUUAGACAAAUACUCAUGUGUAUGGGCAAAAAACUCGAGGACUGUAUUUGUGACUAAUUGUAUAACAGGUUAUUUUAGUUUCUGUUCUGUGGAAAGUGUAAAGCAUUCCAACAAAGGGUUUUAAUGUAGAUUUUUUUUUUUGCACCCAUGCUGUUGAUUGCUAAAUGUAAUAGUCUGAUCGUGACGCUGAAUAAAUGUCUUUUUUUUAAUGUGCUGUGUAAAGUUAGUCUACUCUGAAGCCAUCUUGGUAAAUUUCCCCAACAGUGUGAAGUUAGAAUUCCUUCAGGGUGAUGCCAGGUUCUAUUUGGAAUUUAUAUACAACCUGCUUGGGUUGAGAAGCCAUUGUCUUCGGAAACCUUGGUGUAGUUGAACUGAUAGUUACUGUUGUGACCUGAAGUUCACCAUUAAAAGGGAUUGCCCAAGCAAAAUCAUGGAAUUACUGGUUAUAAAAGUGAUUGUUGGCACAUCCUAUGCAAUAUAUCUAAAUUGAAUAAUGGUACCAGAUAAAAAUAUAGAUGGGAAUGAAGCUUGUGUAUCAUCCAUUAUCAUGUAUAAUCAAUAAAUGAUUUAAUUCUCUUU